AGCUCCAAUAGCGUAUAUUAAAAUUGUUGCGGUUAAAACGCUCGUAGUCGGCUGUUUGCCAAGUCUUUCUCGUUCUCCCAAGUGGAGCUUACGAGGAUUGCAUCUUGGAAGUUUUUCGGGAAAUAUGAAUGCACUUCAAUGUGUGUCACACUACCCGUUUUUUUACUUUGAGGAAAUAAGUGUGUUCCAAGCAGGUCUUUGUCGUGUAUAUGGUAGCAUGGAAUAAUAUCGUGGGACACCGUUCCAACCUUGUUGGCUUUUGGUACGGUGGAACGACAAUAAGGAUAGUUAGGGGCAUUCGUAUUUAGCUGUCAGAGGUGAAAUUCUUGGAUUUUUUAAAGACGACCCAUGGCGAAGGCAUCUGCCCGGGAUGUUUUUUUUUUUGAUCAAGAACGAAAGU
rnacentral:rRNA from 1 species